rnacentral:rRNA from 2 species
AACGUAGGUGGCAAGCGUUGUCCGGAAUUACUGGGUGUAAAGGGAGCGCAGGCGGACUAGCAAGUUGGAAGUGAAAUCUAUGGGCUCAACCCAUAAAUUGCUUUCAAAACUGCCGGUCUUGAGUAGUGCAGAGGUAGGCGGAAUUCCCGGUGUAGCGGUGGAAUGCGUAGAUAUCGGGAGGAACACCAGUGGCGAAGGCGGCCUACUGGGCACCAACUGACGCUGAGGCUCGAAAGUAUGGGUAGCAAACAGG